UACGUAGGGUGCAAGCGUUAUCCGGAAUUAUUGGGCGUAAAGAGCUCGUAGGCGGUUUUGUCGCGUCUGCCCGUGAAAAGUCCGGGGGGCUCAACUCCCGGAUCUGCGGGUGGGGUACGGGGCAGACUAGAGUGAUGUAGGGGGAGACUGGGAAAUUCCUGGGUGUAGCGGGUGAAAAAUGCGCAGAUAUCAGGGAGGGAAACACCCGAUGGCGAAAGGGCAGGGUCUCUGGGGCAUUUAAACUGACGCUGAGGGAGCGAAAAAGCAUGGGGGGAGCGAAACAGGG
rnacentral:rRNA from 1 species